rnacentral:rRNA from 1 species
UACGUAGGGUGCAAGCGUUGUCCGGAAUUAUUGGGCGUAAAGAGCUCGUAGGCGGUCUGUCGCGUCUGCUGUGAAAACUCAGGGCUUAACCCUGAGCUUGCAGUGGGUACGGGCAGACUAGAGUGCGGUAGGGGAGACUGGAAUUCCUGGUGUAGCGGUGAAAUGCGCAGAUAUCAGGAGGAACACCGGUGGCGAAGGCGGGUCUCUGGGCCGUAACUGACGCUGAGGAGCGAAAGCAUGGGGAGCGAAUGGG